rnacentral:rRNA from 2 species
GAUGAACGCUAGCUACAGGCUUAACACAUGCAAGUCGAGGGGCAGCGGGUUGAAAGCUUGCUUUCAAUGCCGGCGACCGGCGCACGGGUGCGUAACGCGUAUCAAACCUGCCUCAUACUCGGGGAUAGCCUUGCGAAAGUAAGAUUAAUACCCGAUGUUGUUGCUUUCUCGCAUGGGAGAGUAACCAAAGAUUUAUCGGUAUGAGAUGGUGAUGCGUCCGAUUAGGUAGUAGGCGGGGUAACGGCCCACCUAGCCUUCGAUCGGUAGGGGUUCUGAGAGGAAGGUCCCCCACACUGGAACUGAGACACGGUCCAGACUCCUACGGGAGGCAGCAGUGAGGAACAUUGGUCAAUGGGCGAGAGCCUGAACCAGCCAAGUAGCGUGCAGGAUGACGGCCCUCCGGGUUGUAAACUGCUUUUAGUUGGGAAUAAAAAAAGGGACGUG